rnacentral:rRNA from 1 species
GAUAAACGCUGGCGGCGUGCCUAAUACAUGCAAGUCGAGCGAACGGACGAGAAGCUUGCUUCUCUGAUGUUAGCGGCGGACGGGUGAGUAACACGUGGAUAACCUACCUAUAAGACUGGGAUAACUUCGGGAAACCGGAGCUAAUACCGGAUAAUAUUUUGAACCGCAUGGUUCAAAAGUGAAAGACGGUCUUGCUGUCACUUAUAGAUGGAUCCGCGCUGCAUUAGCUAGUUGGUAAGGUAACGGCUUACCAAGGCAACGAUGCAUAGCCGACCUGAGAGGGUGAUCGGCCACACUGGAACUGAGACACGGUCCAGACUCCUACGGGAGGCAGCAGUAGGGAAUCUUCCGCAAUGGGCGAAAGCCUGACGGAGCAACGCCGCGUGAGUGAUGAAGGUCUUCGGAUCGUAAAACUCUGUUAUUAGGGAAGAACAUAUGUGUAAGUAACUGUGCACAUCUUGACGGUACCUAAUCAGAAAGCCACGGCUAACUACGUGCCAGCAGCCGCGGUAAUACGUAGGUGGCAAGCGUUAUCCGGAAUUAUUGGGCGUAAAGCGCGCGUAGGCGGUUUUUUAAGUCUGAUGUGAAAGCCCACGGCUCAACCGUGGAGGGUCAUUGGAAACUGGAAAACUUGAGUGCAGAAGAGGAAAGUGGGAUUCCAUGUGUAGCGGUGAAAUGCGCAGAGAUAUGGAGGAACACCAGUGGCGAAGGCGACUUUCUGGUCUGUAACUGACGCUGAUGUGCGAAAGCGUGGGGAUCAAACAGGAUUAGAUACCCUGGUAGUCCACGCCGUAAACGAUGAGUGCUAAGUGUUAGGGGGUUUCCGCCCCUUAGUGCUGCAGCUAACGCAUUAAGCACUCCGCCUGGGGAGUACGACCGCAAGGUUGAAACUCAAAGGAAUUGACGGGGACCCGCACAAGCGGUGGAGCAUGUGGUUUAAUUCGAAGCAACGCGAAGAACCUUACCAAAUCUUGACAUCCUUUGACAACUCUAGAGAUAGAGCCUUCCCCUUCGGGGGACAAAGUGACAGGUGGUGCAUGGUUGUCGUCAGCUCGUGUCGUGAGAUGUUGGGUUAAGUCCCGCAACGAGCGCAACCCUUAAGCUUAGUUGCCAUCAUUAAGUUGGGCACUCUAAGUUGACUGCCGGUGACAAACCGGAGGAAGGUGGGGAUGACGUCAAAUCAUCAUGCCCCUUAUGAUUUGGGCUACACACGUGCUACAAUGGACAAUACAAAGGGCAGCGAAACCGCGAGGUCAAGCAAAUCCCAUAAAGUUGUUCUCAGUUCGGAUUGUAGUCUGCAACUCGACUACAUGAAGCUGGAAUCGCUAGUAAUCGUAGAUCAGCAUGCUACGGUGAAUACGUUCCCGGGUCU